AUGCUUCACGGUGGCAGGCCGCUGUCCCUCAGGGGCUCCCUCAAGGCCCUCGAAGCCGAUAUCCACCACGCCAACACCCUGGCGCAUGCUAUCCACAGGGCCUACGGGGGCACCUGCGUGCAGAUGAGGCUGUCCUACAGCUCCAUGGCUCCAAUCAUCCUCAACCUUAUCCAGUGGAUGGACUGCAGCUGCUCCCUCUCCUACACCCUCCCCAGCUACCUGGGCCUUCUCGAGGUUCUCGUCUACAAGGUUUAUGUUGAUGGGGAUGCCUCCAUAUCCACCAUCGAAAGGCGAGCGAGCCUCAAAGAAUUCUACGCCAUAAUAUACCCCUACUUGCAACAAAUUGAGGAGAACGUCAUGGCGAGAGACUGCAAGGAGAAGGGGUGGUGCAAGGGGGACGGCGACAGCGGCGGCCGCCGGAAGCUUUACGCCGAUGACAAGGACGCCGAGAGGGAAGACGAGUGCGGCAUUUGCCUGGAGGCCUGCACCAAGAUGGUCCUUCCCAACUGCAACCAUGCCAUGUGCAUCAACUGUUACCGAGACUGGUACACAAGAUCCCAGUCGUGCCCAUUCUGCCGCGGAAGCCUGAAGCGAGUCCAGUCCAGGGACCUGUGGGUGCUCACUGGCGACGAGGACGUGAUCGACCCGGUGACCCUGGAGAAGGAGAAUGUGAGGCACUUCCACAGCUUCAUCGACAGCCUGCCCCUCAUCGUCCCCGACAACCUCCUGCUGGUCUACUAUGACUACCUAGUCUAG
rnacentral:rRNA from 1 species